AACGCGUAGGAAUCUACCCAGUAGCGGGGGAUAAGCCAGAGAAAUUUGGUCUAAUACCGCAUACGCCCUUCGGGGGAAAGCAGGGGAUCUUCGGACCUUGCACUAUUGGAUGAGCCUGCGUGAGAUUAGCUAGUUGGUGAGGUAAUGGCUCACCAAGGCGACGAUCUCUAGCUGGUCUGAGAGGAUGAUCAGCCACACUGGAACUGAGACACGGUCCAG
rnacentral:rRNA from 1 species